AUCCAGCUGGUGAGUCCCAGAUAGGACGAAACACGCGUCCUGGAU
rnacentral:hammerhead_ribozyme from 1 species